CUCCUCUGGUUUGUCUCUGACACUGCAACCUGGAGACAAGUCAUUUCUCUAACGAGGCCAUGCAAACAUCAUGUGUUCCUCCGUGGAAAGAAGUGGAGAAGGCCAGGAGCAACAGGACACAUUUUUCACAGGUGCAAACUUAAGUUACAAAGUCCUAACCGGAAGCAAGCAGAGAUGCUGGAGGUGUCCUGGAGAAAGAUAGAGUCACAGCAUCAUAGAGUAAUCAAGGCUGGAAAAGACCUCCAAGGUACAACCUCAUCUCACCCCCACCGUGCCCAUUGACCAGGACCCUCCAGUGCCACAUCUCCAGAGACAGUGACCCCACCACCUCCCUGGGCAGCCUGUGCCUGACCACCCUUUCUGAGAAGAAAUUCUUCUUAGUGCCCAACAUGGAACAGGACAGAGAUGCUUCUCUCUUUGGGUGAGGAAGGCAGAACAUAACCACCUAUAGAGAAAUGCAGUAAGCCUGAAAUGUCAAGAGUUGAGCAAGAUGCAUCUGGCACUCGUUGGCUCUGAGGAACAACGGCUUCUUCAUUUAUGGCUGUUGCUGGAUCACUACAUUAUAUCAGAUUUCUUCACAGUCACUAAGUAUUCACUGGAGUGCCAGCAGUAUUUCCCAAAGCUUUGGUUCUUGGAGAAACCACAGGAUACACUACUGAAUGACACUGCUAAAUUAAAUGUAUGUUGAUAAUUAUAAUCUUCUAUCUUUGACUGUCCAUCUGAGAUGGUUUAUAAUGACUACUUCCAGAUGCAUGGCCAUAGAGGUGAGAGAGACACUGAUUCCUAGGGACCAUUGGAUUUCCUCAUUUUGU